CCUACGGGAGGCAGCAGUGAGGAAUUUUCCGCAAUGGGCGAAAGCCUGACGGAGCAAUACCGCGUGAGGGAUGAAGGAUUUUGGUCUGUAAACCUCUUUUCUCAAGAAAGAAGUUCUGACGGUACUUGAGGAAUAAGCAUCGGCUAACUCCGUGCCAGCAGCCGCGGUAAUACGGGGGAUGCAAGCGUUAUCCGGAAUGAUUGGGCGUAAAGCGCCUGUAGGUUGUUUAUUAAGUCCGUUGUUAAAGCCUAGGGCUUAACCCUAGAAAAGCAAUGGAAACUAGUAGACUAGAGUAUGGCAGGGGUAGAGGGAAUUUCUAGUGUAGCGGUGAAAUGCGUAGAUAUUAGAAAGAACACCGGUGGCGAAAGCGCUCUACUGGACCAUUACUGACACUCAGAGGCGAAAGCUAGGGUAGCAAAAGGGAUUAGAUACCCCUGUAGUCCUAGCCGUAAACGAUGGAUACUAGAUGUUGUGCAUUAUGUACAGUAUCGUAGCUAACGCGUUAAGUAUCCCGCCUGGGGAGUACGCUCGCAAGGGUGAAACUUAAGGAAUUGACGG
rnacentral:rRNA from 1 species